GGUUGUGACGGACUGCGUGGUGCAACCUGAACUGUGGGACCGCUGACCCUUCUUUACAACCAGCCUGGGCUCCCUCUCAUACUGGGAUGCUGUGAAAAGCUGCAAACCUCUGGCAGACUAAUCCAACAGAUCUACAGUGAACCUGUGGUGCAGUGUGUUAAAAGAAAGCCAACUGAGGAACAGAGACUAACCCUGUAACACCAGGCAGCACCAAAAGCAUCAGAAGAGCAAGAAAAUAAUACAUUUUCUCAUUCCAUCCUGGGUUAAUGUCAUGUUACCUCCUGGAGGUCCAAAGUAACAGCUAAGGCC